UAAUGUUUAAGUAAAAUCCCUUUUCCUAUAGUUUGGAUCAAAUUAUAGUUAAUAUCUAGGUUGUUGGAUGAUGUUUAUGAUUAAGAUACAAGGUGAUUUAUUUUCCUACAGGAAAUCCUGUGCCCCACCCCAAGGAAUUCAGGUAAUUUGUAUGGGUCAUUUCCAUGUUAUAUGCAGAGAUGCAAAUCACUGUAACACAGCUGUGGAAGGAAUAGAACCCAAACAGGUUAACAUAUAAAGUUAUUUUACAUUGAGAAAGACCACAGGUUCACCUAAUCUAGUGCUGCCUACAAGAGGAAGAGCCAUUCCCCAGUCCUGCUAUCUAACAUCCAUGAACAAUGGCACUGGGGAACAUAUGGCCCUCUCCACAUGUAUUUAAAUUGCAACAUCCAUCACUUUUAGCCAGAGGUGAAUGAUAAUAGAAAUUAAGAGUCCAGCAAAAUUGAAGGAAGCACAUAUUCCUCAUUCCCAUGUAGCAUGAAAUUGGGGACUUCUGCAUGCAGAGCAAAUACUGUAUAUAUUCGAGUAUAAGCUGAACCUAAUAUAAGCCGAGGCACCUAAUUUUACCACAAAAACUGGGGAAACUUAUUGACUCGAGUAUAAGCCGAGGGUGGGAAAUGCAGCAGCUACUGGCAAAUUUCAAAAUGAAAAUAGAUCCCAAUGAAAUUAUAUUGAGGCAUCAGUAGGUUAAAGGUUUGUCAAUAUUUACCGUAUUUCAAAGAAAAACAGUAAACUAGCUCUGUAAGUGGAAAGGUAGGGUCAACAAAAACAAUAUGGUAUAAACAAUAGCAUAAUAAUAAUAAUAAUAAUAAUAAUAAUAAUAAUAAUAAUAAUAAUAUCAAACAUCUAAGAAAUCUCACAAUAUUUUGCAUCUGAUGUACAUGGAUGACCUGAAGCUGUAUGGGAAAAUGGAAACUGAAAUCCAGUCUCUGACUAAUACUGUCCGAAUUUUUAGCACUGAUAUCAGCAUGGACUUUGGUUUGGAGAAAUGUUUGACAGUGGCAUUGAAGAAGGGAAAAAUCAUUGAAAGUGAGGGCAUAAAUAUGCCUAAUGGCCAAACAAUAAAGUGUCACCAGCCAGAGGCCUAUAAAUAUCUGGGCAUAUUACAGCUGGACAACAUCAAGCAUGAACAUGUGAAAACUGUUGGUCAGCAAAGAAUACACACAAAGGGUCAGAAAAAUUAUCAAAAGCAAGCUCAAUGGAGGCAACACCAUCAAGGCCAUAAACACCUGGGCCAUACCUGUCAUAAGAUAUGCUGCUGGCAUCAUAAAUUGGAUACAGGUGUUUAUGGCCUUGAUGGUCUUGCCUCCAUUGAGCUUGAAUUUGAGAAUUUUUCUGACCCUUUGUGUGUAUUCUUUGCUGACCACAGUUUUCACAUGUUCAUGCUUGAUGUUGUCCAGCUGUAAUAUGCCCAGAUAUUUAUUGGCCUCUGGCUGGUGACACUUUAUUGUUUGGCCAUUAGGCAUAUUUAUGCCCUCACUUUCAAUGAUUUUUCCCUUCUUCAAUGCCACUGUUGAACAUUUGUCCAAACCAAACUUCAUGCUGAUAUCAGUGCUAAAAAUUCAGACAGUGUUAGUCAGAGACUGGAUUUCAGUUUCCGUUUUCCCAUACAGCUUCAGGUCAUCCAUGUACAUCAAAUGCGAAAUUUUGUGAGAUUUUUUAGAUGUUUGAUAGCCGAGGUUUGUUUUUUGUAAGAUUGUUGACAGAGGGAUCAUGGCAAUAAUGAAAAGCAGAGGGGACAAUGAGUCUCCCUGGAAAAUUCCUCUUCUGAUGUUGACAAGUCCAUAGCUUUCAUUUCCAACAAACAGUUCAGUUUUCCAGUGCUUAUUAUUAUUAUUAUUUGGCAGCAUAGGCCCAUGUAAACAACAUGGCAUAGCAGUUGUGAUGGUGGAUGAAAAGGCAACUCAUAUGUGAAGCUUAUUGGAGACAACUGUGCCUCAAAGAUCUAUUUGUUAAGUUCAACUGAUAAUUGCCCAAAUCAGAUAUUAUCAGUAGGAGAACAUGCUUUCAAACAGAUUGUUUAGUGAAAAUGUAUUUAUUUAUUUAUUUAUUCAUUCACAUUAUUUCUAUCCUGCCUUUCUCACCCAAAGGGACUCAAGGGGCUUACAGAUCUGGCAAAAAAUCAAUGCCAAAAAACCAACAAUCCAAUCCAAUGAAACAUAUAGCAGUUAAAAAACAAUUUACAUUAGGCAUUAAAACACAUGAGACAAUAUACAAAACCUAAAAUAUAAAAAAAUGCAUACAUCCAUUCAUCCAAAAACCUUGCACAGAAUCCUUGAUCCACACUGUGUCAAAGCCAUAAAAGCUUAUUUGUUAAACGCUUGGGUGCAUAGUGAGGUCUUUAGUUUCUUUCUAAAACCCAGAAGGGAUGGAGCCUGUCAGAUGUCACUGGGGAGGGAGUUCCACAGCCGAGGAGCCACCACUGAGAAGGCCCUGUCUCUCGUCCCCACCAGUCGCACUUUCCAAGGUGGUGGGAUCGAGAGCAGGGCCUCCCCAGAUGAUCUUAAAGUUCCAAUAGGCUCAUAGAAGUAGAUACGUCCAGACAGGUAAGUUGGACC
rnacentral:lncRNA from 1 species